GACGAACGCUGGCGGCGUGCCUAAUACAUGCAAGUCGAGCGAAGUUUUUCUGGUGCUUGCACUAGAAAAACUUAGCGGCGAACGGGUGAGUAACACGUAAAGAACCUGCCUCAUGGACUGGGACAACUAUUGGAAACGAUAGCUAAUACCGGAUAACAGUAUUUCUCGCAUGAGAGAUAUUUAAAAGUUGGUUAUGCUAACACUAUGAGAUGGCUUUGCGGUGCAUUAGCUAGUUGGUGGGGUAAAGGCCCACCAAGGCGACGAUGCAUAGCCGACCUGAGAGGGUGAUCGGCCACACUGGGACUGAGACACGGCCCAGACUCCUACGGGAGGCAGCAGUAGGGAAUCUUCCGCAAUGGGCGAAAGCCUGACGGAGCAACGCCGCGUGAGUGAAGAAGGAUUUCGGUUCGUAAAGCUCUGUUGUUAGGGAAGAAUGGAUAUGUAGUAACUAUACAUGUAAGAGACGGUACCUAACCAGAAAGCCACGGCUAACUACGUG
rnacentral:rRNA from 1 species